GUAGUCAUACGCUCGUCUCAAAGAUUAAGCCAUGCAUGUGUAAGUAUAAAUAGUUAACUUUGAAACUGCGAAUGGCUCAUUAUAUCAGUUAUAGUUUAUUUGAUGAAGAAUACUAAUUGGAUAACCGUAGUAAUUCUAGAGCUAAUACAUGUAUAAAGUCUUGUAGACUGCAUUUAUUAGAAUGAAAACCAUAGGUUUCGGCCUAUUCGUGAGUAAUAAUAACUAAUCAUAUCGUAUGCUUAUGUAACGA
rnacentral:rRNA from 1 species